rnacentral:rRNA from 1 species
AGUGGAUGGGGAGCAACCUAGUUGUGCGUGUGUAAAGGUAGUGCCAAGAAAAGCGAUGAUCAUGUUGAAAAUCAAUUCCCGGUACCCGAAACCGACACAGGUGGGCAAGUAGAGAAUACUAAGGGGCGCGAGGUAACUCUCUCCAAGGAACUCGGCAAAAUGACCCCGUAACUUAGGGAGAAGGGGUGCCACCGAGAGGUGGUCGCAGUGAAGAGGCCCAGGCGACUGUUUAGCAAAAACAUAGGUCUCUGCAAACUCGAAAGAGGAGGUAUAGGGGCUGACGCCUGCCCAGUGCCGGAAGGUUAAAGAAGUUGGUCAGUCUUAGGAUGAAGCUAGCGACUGAAGCCCCGGUGAACGGCGGCCGUAACUAUAACGGUCCUAAGGUAGCGAAAUUCCUUGUCGGGUAAGUUCCGACCCGCACGAAAGGCGUAACGAUCUGGGCGCUGUCUCGGAGAGAGGCUCGGCGAAAUAGGAUUGUCUGUGAAGAUACGGACUACCUGCAUUUGGACAGAAAGACCCUAUGAAGCUUUACUAUAGCUUGGAAUUGUGUUCGGGCUUCCUGUGCGCAGGAUAGGUGGGAGGCGUAGAAGGUAUUCUUGUGGGGAUACUGGAGCCAACGGUGAGAUACCACUCUCAGGAGGCUAGAAUUCUAACUUAAUUAAGGACAGUUUCAGGUGGGUAGUUUGACUGGGGCGGUCGCCUCCAAAAAGGUAACGGAGGCGUACAAAGGUUCCCUCAGACUGGUUGGAAAUCAGUCGAAGAGUGCAAAGGCAGAAGGGAGCUUGACUGCGAGAAGUACAGUUCGAGCAGGGUGGAAACACGGUCUUAGUGAUCCGACGGUGCUGUGUGGAAGGGCCGUCGCUCAACGGAUAAAAGUUACUCUAGGAUAACAGGCUGAUCUCCCCCAAGAGUUCACAUCGACGGGGAGGUUUGGCACCUCGAUGUCGGCUCAUCGCAACCUGGGGCGGAAGUACGUCCCAAGGGUUGGGCUGUUCGCCCAUUAAAGCGGUACGUGAGCUGGGUUCAGAAUUCGUGAGACAGUUCGGUCCAUAUCCGAUGUAGGCGUGAGAAUAUUGAGAGGAGCCUUCCUUAGUACGAGAGGACCGGGAAGGACGCACCGCUGGUGUACCUGUUAUGAUGCCAAUUGUAAACGCAGGGUAGCCAAGUGCGGAGAGGAUAACCGCUGAAAGCAUCUAAGUGGGAAGCCCACCUCAAGAUGAGUAUUCUGGUGUAAGGUCACGGGAAGACGACCCGUAAAUAGGCACGAGGUGGAAGUGCAGAGAUGUAUGAAGCCGAAGUGUACUAAUAGACCGUCGGCUUGAC